rnacentral:rRNA from 1 species
UGCAGUCGAACGGUGAGCAGAGCUUGCUCUGUGGAUCAGUGGCGAACGGGUGAGUAACACGUGAGCAACCUGCCCCUGACUCUGGGAUAAGCGCUGGAAACGGCGUCUAAUACUGGAUAUGUGACGUGACCGCAUGGUCUGCGUCUGGAAAGAAUUUCGGUUGGGGAUGGGCUCGCGGCCUAUCAGCUUGUUGGUGAGGUAAUGGCUCACCAAGGCGUCGACGGGUAGCCGGCCUGAGAGGGUGACCGGCCACACUGGGACUGAGACACGGCCCAGACUCCUACGGGAGGCAGCAGUGGGGAAUAUUGCACAAUGGGCGGAAGCCUGAUGCAGCAACGCCGCGUGAGGGAUGACGGCCUUCGGGUUGUAAACCUCUUUUAGCAGGGAAGAAGCGAAAGUGACGGUACCUGCAGAAAAAGCGCCGGCUAACUACGUGCCAGCAGCCGCGGUAAUACGUAGGGCGCAAGCGUUAUCCGGAAUUAUUGGGCGUAAAGAGCUCGUAGGCGGUUUGUCGCGUCUGCUGUGAAAUCCGGAGGCUCAACCUCCGGCCUGCAGUGGGUACGGGCAGACUAGAGUGCGGUAGGGGAGAUUGGAAUUCCUGGUGUAGCGGUGGAAUGCGCAGAUAUCAGAGGAACACCGAUGGCGAAGGCAGAUCUCUGGGCCGUAACUGACGCUGAGGAGCG